rnacentral:snRNA from 1 species
GGGUGAAUUGUUCAAUGA